CGGUCCCAACGGUGCCGGCGUAGAAUCCGGAAAGAACCAAAAAGCUCAUCAACAUUGUAAGCAUCUUCAUUUUCUCUUUGAAUGUAGUGAAAAAACUUAAAAGAGAGGGUUGAGUUGAGUGGAUAAGUAGUGAAUUGUUUCGGGGUUUUAAAGGGACUAGCUAGAGAGAGUAGUGAAGAUGCUUGAAAAACAAGGAACAUUUUUUAAUUUGUUUGAAGCUGCAUGCAUCAAUCUAAAUCCUCUUUUGCAUAUUUAUUCACCACUCAAAACUAAUUAAAUCUCCUUAUUUAUUUCGGGAACUUAUUAAUCACUAAAAAUAGUGUCUCUGAUUUUUGUGUUAGAAAGCAUUUCAAAAAUCAUUAGAAAGAUUAGAAAACAUAGAUAUGAUACAUUUCAUAAAUCAUUUAAAUGUGAAAAUCCUUAUAAUUAACCAAUCUAGCUUUUUUGUUUUUGUUUUUCGUUUUUUUUGUGUGUGUGUGGGUAAACAUCUCGAAAAUUAGCAUAUGAUCGAUGAAUGAAGUCGGUGGUAGUAACGUCGUAUUCUAGAAGUAAAAGAAGGUAAACAUUAAACACGCAAUGCAUCCACAAGAAGACAUACGUACGUCACCUCUCACAUUUUUCACGCAAUCACAAGGAACAGAAAGUAGUUGAUUAAUUAUAUCUCGU
rnacentral:lncRNA from 1 species